rnacentral:misc_RNA from 1 species
AAAAGACAGGAGCUGAUGCAGAGGC